AUUGAACGCUGGCGGCAGGCCUAACACAUGCAAGUCGAGCGGAUGAAGGGAGCUUGCUCCUGGAUUCAGCGGCGGACGGGUGAGUAAUGCCUAGGAAUCUGCCUGGUAGUGGGGGAUAACGUCCGGAAACGGGCGCUAAUACCGCAUACGUCCUGAGGGAGAAAGGGGGGGAUCUUCGAACCUCACGCUAUCAGAUGACCCUAGGUCGGAUUAGCUAGUUGGUGGGGUAAAGGCCUACCAAGGCGACGAUCCGUAACUGGUCUGAGAGGAUGAUCAGUCACACUGGAACUGAGACACGGUCCAGACUCCUACGGGAGGCAGCAGUGGGGAAUAUUGGACAAUGGGCGAAAGCCUGAUCCAGCCAUGCCGCGUGUGUGAAGAAGGUCUUCGGAUUGUAAAGCACUUUAAGUUGGGAGGAAGGGCAGUAAGUUAAUACCUUGCUGUUUUGACGUUACCAACAGAAUAAGCACCGGCUAACUUCGUG
rnacentral:rRNA from 1 species